rnacentral:tRNA from 1 species
UGGGUUGUGGCUCAGUGUUAGAGUGCUUGCUUAGCACAUAUGAGGCACUGGGUUUGAUCCUCAGCACCACAU